GCUCUCCAGACUUCCAGGAAGAGCGGUCAGAUGCCCACUGGGGGCAAGUCCCUUCACUUCUUUGGAUGGAAGGUGCAUAUCUAUGAGGUACAGUGAUGGUUGUGGAAUUACUCUCCCGGAAAACCUUUCCAGACAGGGGUGAGUCUCAUCUUUCUGGGAUAAUGUGGGUGCAGCCCUGCCUUGGAGUUUGGUCGGCAGCCUCUUGAGAUUCAUUCCAGUCUGAUGAUUCUCUCAUUUUACACCAAUAGAUGCACUGGGGCAAAAAAGGCAUCCAACAGACACAAUCGGUGGAUGUAAAGAUUGUGCUGACUAAGCAAACAGCUUUUAAACAAGCCCUCUGUGCCUCCCCUUCCCUAAUCCCUAACCCUGGACCAGCCUAAAUGCCUUUCUUAAAGAAUCUUGAAACUCCCACCGUCCCAGACUCCCUGCUCUCUGUCCUACGAAGAGAGAAAGAAGAAACGCUGAUUUGCAUUGCUCUUGCUGCUUAUGAGUAAGAUGGGAGGAGAAAAAGGGGAAAAGAACCUAAAGAGCAGGGGAAAGACGAUAUAGAAUCGAUAGGCUGUAUACAUGGAGACAGUCAUUAACUCUAAAGGAAACCAAGAAACCCAGAAGGAGAAAGGAAAAUAAAGAUAACUGGUAAAUUAGCAUUAUAGGUUUUUUAAAAACUCUUUUUGAAAGACAUCCCUCUGCAGGACCCUUCCUGCACCCAAAUGUGUCAAAGCCAUAAUCUUGCAGUCUCCUGUAAUGCCACCCCACAGCCCAUAUGACCAGCAUGGACCAGCAAGGCCAAGCACACGGAGGAAUGCUGAUGUUUAGAUAAUUGGGUGGAGAUGAGGUGUGGCCUGAGAAACAAGUAGAGGUUAUUCUUUAAAAAGUGUUUUCUCAUUAAGACCCAGUCAAACUGCUCAGGUGCGGUGCCAAGGGGGUUAAUGUACAAAUUCAGAAGCUCUAUGAAGGUUACAUUCUGGCCUUGGAGAGACACACAAGGGUAGGUUUCUUAAAAUGCAUUGACUUGGCCUCUUCCCCAAGCGCAGUCACCUUUUGAACUGCUUAGGAUGACCCAGGAGAAGAACAGAAAGCUCUGCAACCAGAAACUCUGUGUGAGUGUUUAUAGAGAACAAUCAGAGGGCUGUCUAGAAAACAAACUGCCUCAUUUCUUCAAUAGUAGCUAUUCAGGCAGCAAGAGGCAAUUUAAAGACUGGCCAGCAAAGUUAAAGUGCCCUGUUUGGGAGAUGGGCAUAAAUGACAACAUUUUUAUUCUACUCCAGCUUUUAUGCAUUGCUCAACUUCACAAUACUUAAAUAAAGUGCUUUCUUCUGGGGAUGUCAAGUACAUGAUACCUCAGCUACAGGUACUAUGAUAGAAUUACAUGGAUAUAUCCCACACAUCUAAACUCCAAUACAGAAUACUUAGGGAUUUUUAGUAAGAUGCACAAAUGAGUAUUUUUAGGCACAAAGUUAUUGCCAAGUCUGGUCUUCACAGAAAGAAGUAAUUGAUGUAGUGUCUUAAUCUAAAUUUUUUUCUUCUUUAUAGCAUCUACUUCUUUUAAACAAGGACAGAUGGAGCCAUAGGGUGUUAACUGGACUUUACUUCUAAUCCAUGGCAGAAUCAUCCCUCCCUUAUAGAAUUGGGCAAUAUACCACAUACCACAUUCCUACCUUCUUAGGCAAGAAGGGACAUUUCUAAAAAUUUCUGAUAAACCACAACUGCAUGAAUGCUGGGAAGCUUGGCUGCUUUUUGAGUCUGUGCCUGUCACUAAAGUACCACAGGUCCCAGCCUCUGCUAUACACACCCAUACAUACCCCAUCUGCUUGGGGGAAGCUAAUAUUUACCCUACCCACUUCCUAGGGACACUGGGGGCCGUAGGCAUUCCUAUAAGUGUUAUUUGUUAGCACUAUAAAAGCACUAUAAAAAAGUUACAGUUCAAGGUGAUAUUUACUGACUUAUAUGUAACUCUCCUUACUGGUGUCCUUAAAAUUCAUCUCUAACAUACUUUAUUAUGUUUGCCUCUGUUUAGAAAAUGUGACAAGAAGUUAUAGACUCUUCGUGAUGGGGUCAGUAGUUAUAGCAUAAGCAAGCAACUCACAUGGUUUGCUCCCAGAAGGGAGACCUUAGGAAUACUUAUCUCUAGGGACAAGACUUGAAAUCUGAGAGUCAGAUCCAAAUAUUGCCAGAUGGCUGGCAAUACCUUUAAGCUGAAGAGUGGGUGUUUGGCUCCCACACUGAGUGUUCUGCAUCCUGAACUGAGACUCUGUGGAAGCACCAGGUAUGUGCAUCCCCAAAGCUUUGGCUUCAAAUAUGUUGGAUGCUCUCCUGAACCAUUUCUGUUUGUCCAAGGCAUUUGACCAUAUCCUGGCAGUUCACUCAGGUAUCUGCCCUCCGCACAAAACUUCUGAUCACAACUGCCUACAUCCACAAGGAAACACUUGAGUCAAGUUUAGCAGAACAUUACUGCAGCACGGUACAAGAUAAUUUCCCAACAGACAGGCAGCCAUUCUCUUGAACCUAAAGACUAAAGGAGGAGGCACAGAAAAUAGAGAUAUUUCAUCACUCAGGUGCCACUGAAUUUGCAUCUUUAACCCAAAAUGUAUUAAGCUUCAGUCUGACAAUUAGCUAACAAGGGCAAAAAUGCACAGAGACAAGCAGAAGGUGGAAAUUUCUUAUUUAUUUUUUAAUUUUUGAGACAGAGUGUUAUUCUGUCACCUAGGCUAGAGCACAGUGGCACGACUUGGCUCACUGCAAC